GGUCACAUUAUGGUCGUCUUUUUUUGAGACAUUUCAACGAGUUAGAUCAUGAAUUUCAAAUAAGGUAUACAGUGUAUGCCUUGUUACUUUCUUAGAACAUGUCUGCUCAGGUCUGCACUCGUGUGGAAUAAGCCAUCUUCUCUCGGGCCUUUGUAGCAGACAUGCACUUUUGCUGCAGAUAAGGCCCGGAACAAGCCAAGCUCGCUAUGGCCAUUUGUAAUGGACAUAGAAGUGUACGUUUUUGUCACAGGUUGUUCCAUGAACAACUUUUAUUUACUAUUGUUGUUUACUACUAUAUAUUUAAUAAACAUUGUGCUUUUCUUUCAGAUUGAACAAAGCUUACGAACCUGCCGUUCAAUACACGAACAUUUUUACUUCGCCUUUUCUCGCUAUUAUAUCAAAGUAAUGUAUUUAAUAUACUCAUUUCAUUUUUGACUUGUGCAUUGAAGUACGAAAAGUGCAUCUCGUACAAUAAUGAUAGUAUAGCGCGAUUCCAGUGCAGCGUUCUAACCAACAGAGUCCAUGAGUUGUCGAGCUCUAUUCCUGGUUAGGUCUGAUACUGUAAGUGUAUAAAAUUUACACUCGAUAUGUCCAUCUACAAAAUCUUUCCACAAUUUGUUCUAUCGAGUGAGAUAAAAAUCCUGAUAAUAUUUUUAUUAAAUCCAGCUCAUCAUUCUCAUUAUUUUUUUAGGAACAUAGCGUUUGUUGCAGGUUCAUUUUUCGCUGUAUUGACAUGUCUGUCAAUCUACGAUCAAGAUGUUUUCAGAGCAGAACAUAUGUUAACAACCAUAGCUAGUUUAGGU
rnacentral:lncRNA from 1 species